rnacentral:lncRNA from 1 species
CUUGUCUUCCAAGGGUUUCCUGUGCUUUCUCGAGCACGGCAUGCAAAUAUUUUCCUUGAGCUUCUAUCCGUAACUGUAAAUGUCGUUGUACCUAUAUCAGUUCAAUUAGGCCUCAUUAAGAAGGCGCCAAGGAAAUUUUUUCUUCGAAUUUUAAAGUUUGAAAUGAAAAAACACCCUAUGCAUGUCUAGAUUAGAUUCUUAAUUCUUGAAACAGAACAUAUAGACUAGGCCUGUUAACUAGAUUACUGAAGAUAUCAUUAGGCCUCAUUAAGAAGGCAUCAAGGAAAAUUUCUCUUCGAAUUUUAAAGUUUGAAAGAAAAAACACCCUAUGCAUGUCUUGAUUAGAUUCUUAAUUCUUGAAAUAGAACACAUGGACUAGGCCUGCUAACUAGAUUAUUGAAGAUAUCAAGUUGUUUAUCUUGAAGGUGAAAGUGCCUUCUAUCAAGUUUCAAUAUUCUCAUGCUUCCGGCUUUCAGAUCAUCAACCAGGAAGUCUCAAAUUUUACUGCCAGUAUAUUUGGCAUAGCCUUUGCUCUCACUUCUCAUACGUAAGAGUAAUUCUGCAGUAAUUUCAUACCUCAAGCUGCUCAUGAAGCCUUCUCUGCACUUCUAUUUGGAUUUGUAUUGCUUCACUUAUUUGAAUGUUUCUGAAUGGAUAAUUCUUUGUUAGAAUAAUCAAAACUGAAGAUUUUACUGAGACAUGAAAUAGAAGGAUGAAUGGUUAAAAUGAAGGAUCAAACGUUGUUUGUUCUUACUUGUUUGGUUGGGGUCCGAUGCUUGGAUUACUCAUG